UUUACCAGCUGCGCGGCGCACGGGGUGAGUAACGCGUGAAGAACUUGCCUUUUAGCCUGGGACAACUACUAGAAAUGGUAGCUAAUACCGGAUAGUAUCAUCGUAUGGCAUCAUAUGAUGAUGAGAGAUACAUUCGCUAAAAGAGAGCUUCGCGUCCCAUUAGCUAGUUGGUAGUGUAAUGGACUACCAAGGUGACGAUGGGUAGCCGGCCUGAGAGGGUGGACGGCCACAAGGGGACUGAGACACGGCCCUUACUCCGACGGGAGGCAGCAGUGGGGAAUAUUGGACAAUGGGCCACGAGCCUGAUCCAGCAAUUCUGUGUGAAUGAAGAAGGCUUUCGGGUCGUAAAGUUCUUUCGGCAGGGAAGAAGAAAGUGACGGUACCUGCAUAAGAAGCGA
rnacentral:rRNA from 1 species